rnacentral:rRNA from 1 species
UACGAAGGGGGCUAGCGUUGCUCGGAAUUACUGGGCGUAAAGCGCACGUAGGCGGAUUGUUAAGUCGGGGGUGAAAUCCUGGAGCUCAACUCCAGAACUGCCUUUGAUACUGGUGAGCUUGAGUCCGGAAGAGGUGAGUGGAACUGCGAGUGUAGAGGUGAAAUUCGUAGAUAUUCGCAAGAACACCAGUGGCGAAGGCGGCUCACUGGUCCGGUACUGACGCUGAGGUGCG